AGCGAACGCUGGCGGCAGGCCUAACACAUGCAAGUCGAACGAACCUUUCGGGGUUAGUGGCGGACGGGUGAGUAACACGUGGGAACGUGCCUUUAGGUUCGGAAUAACUCAGGGAAACUUGUGCUAAUACCGAACGUGCCCUUCGGGGGAAAGAUUAAUCGCCUUUAGAGCGGCCCGCGUCUGAUUAGCUAGUUGGUUGAGGUAAUGGCUCACCAAGGCGACGAUCAGUAGCUGGUCUGAGAGGAUGAUCAGCCACAUUGGGACUGAGACACGGCCCAAACUCCUACGGGAGGCAGCAGUGGGGAAUCUUGCGCAAUGGGCGAAAGCCUGACGCAGCCAUGCCGCGUGAAUGAUGAAGGUCUCAGGAUUGUAAAAUUCUUUCACCGGGGACGAUAAUGACGGUACCCGGAGAAGAAGCCCCGGCUAACUUCGUG
rnacentral:rRNA from 1 species